rnacentral:rRNA from 1 species
AAAGUGAUAAGUAUCCCACCUGGGGAGUACGAACGCAAGUUUGAAACUCAAAGGAAUUGACGGGGGCCCGCACAAGCGGUGGAGCAUGUGGUUUAAUUCGAUGAUACGCGAGGAACCUUACCAAGGCUUAAAUGCAGACUGACCGAUUUGGAAACAGAUCUUUCGCAAGACAGUUUACAAGGUGCUGCAUGGUUGUCGUCAGCUCGUGCCGUGAGGUGUCAGGUUAAGUCCUAUAACGAGCGCAACCCUUGGUCGACGCGGCCG